CCUACGGGGGGCUGCAGUGGGGAAUAUUGCGCAAUGGGCGAAAGCCUGACGCAGCAACGCCGCGUGGGUGAUGAAGGCCUUCGGGUUGUAAAUCCCUUUCGGCCGGGAAGAAGGGUGUCGUGGUGAAUAGUCACGGCAUUCGAUGGUACCGGAAGAAGAAGCACCGGCAAACUUCGUGCCAGCAGCCGCGGUAAUACGAAGGGUGCAAGCGUUGUUCGGAAUUACUGGGUGGAAAGGGUUCGUAGGCGGGAAGAUAAGUUGAGUGUGAAAACCCU
rnacentral:rRNA from 1 species